rnacentral:rRNA from 1 species
AUUGAACGCUGGCGGCAGGCCUAACACAUGCAAGUCGAGCGGAUGAAGGGAGCUUGCUCCUGGAUUCAGCGGCGGACGGGCGAGUAAUGCCUAGGAAUCUGCCCGGUCGUGGGGGAUAAGGUCCGGAAACGGGCGCUAAUACCGCAUACGUCCUGAGGGAGAAAGGGGGGGAUCUUCGGACCUCACGCUAUCUGCUGAGCCUAGGUCGGAUUAGCUAGCUGGUUGGGUAAAGGCCUACCAAGGCGACGAUCCGUAACUGGUCUGAGAGGAUGAUCAGUCACACUGGAACUGAGACACGGUCCAGACUCCUACGGGAGGCAGCAGUGGGGAAUAUUGGACAAUGGGCGAAAGCCUGAUCCAGCCAUGCCGCGUGUGUGAAGAAGGUCUUCGGAUUGUAAAGCACUUUAAGUUGGGAGGAAGGGCAGUAAGUUAAUACCUUGCUGUUUUGACGUUACCAACAGAAUAAGCACCGGCUAACUUCGUG